GUUGGCAAUAAAUGCUGCACAAUAGCGUAACUAGCAGACGUGGCAGUGUUGAUUGGAGUGAGCAGAAAAAAAAUGAAAUAAAAAGCGAAAAAAGAGCGGAAAAUAUAGCAAAGAAAUUAUUAAUUCUAUGCCCGUCAAGAUGUCUAGAAGUUCGUGCACACUCAAAUACCAGCCGCUUGCCAGCGACAGCAGACGCAGUGAGUAGCUCUGCCUUAGCGCGGGGACUCGGUGCAUAGCCUCGAAGUACGCACUCAACAUGACUCGACAAGUUGCCAGCGCGUAAGACUGCCAAAGGCUGUGAAUUAUUCGAGAAGUUAUGAUGAAGACUUGUGGCUUUUCAAGGUAAAGUUAAAUAAAUAGAAAUAAAAAGGAAAAAAAAAUGCAAAAAUAGCAUUGGAGCGAAAAAUUGAUGUGCGUAUGUUGCACAAUGAAGUAGAAAAAGUUGAAAAGUAGAAAAGUUUUUAAGGACUCGUUGAGGGCACAACGACGCAGCAUGUGGGAUGGCAUAGGUUACAGCGCUGCUGGAAAACAAUACAGGCCAAGGAGUUAAGCAAAAAAGUACUGCACAGCUGAUAGCUGGAAGAGGCGCCAAGCCAAGAUGAAAGCGUGAAAAAUGUGUGCGCUAUGAAUUAUGUGUAAGUAUUUGUUGCUGGGAAUACGCGUACGGUAUCGGUGUGUGACAGCAGCGUCGACAAGGUGCGGCGCCCGUACAAGCCAGAAUUCCAUAGAUGUCUGCACCUGCCGAAAAUGCCGCAAAAUUAGAGGGGGGCUUUCACGAAUGGCCUGGGCAAGGUUAAGACGCUGAGCAUGACGAAUUGCUUGGGAAAUUAUGAAAAAGUAUGCAGACGACAAGCAAGCAAGCAGCCGCCGCUGACAGGGCAGGCAACUGGCAGGAAGUGAAACAUAGGAAUGUAAAUGAGAGAAUGUGUAAAGGUGAGACAGAAUUUUAUACAACAUAACUUCGAGCAGUCAGUCUUUCACUGCGCUGGGUUGGCAACUGAAAAGGAUGCGACAGCAGCAGCAAUAUGGCCCUUCAGCAGGCCGGCUGUGAGGAGAGCAUUUAAAAAAAAUUCCUUGUGAGAAAUACCACUUGCACGCCUACAUGGCUGCCAGGCUCAAGAGUUAUUUUAUUGGCAUGCGGUAAACUACACACACACACACACACAUAUGCUCUACAUACACAUGCAUACAUAUAUAAGUAUAUAUUCACACAGGUGAAUAUGGAGCACUGAGCUGAAGUCGUUUGCGCGCAAAUGUGGCCAAGGUAUGGGGCGUGAGUGUACCUCAUCCUCAGGACGCAUGCCACGCUGUCAGCGGCGAGUUAUAACAAAAUCCAGUGAACAAGCAAAUUAAGGUGUUAAGCAAUGAAAACGAUUUCGUCUACGUCACCUGCCAACAGAUGAAGUAAGACGACGUCGGUUUAGCUAGCAAGAAUUGGCCUCUCAGCUGCAAAGGGAGUGAAUGAAUGAAACAGCGAAUGAUGAAGAUGUACCUAUUUAUUGCAAAAUAACGGCAAACGAAGAAACUAAGCAGUGAAAUUAACAACAGAAGAAUGAAUGAAGGGGAGGCCCGGAUUAAUUUAUGGCCAGGGGCUGUCCCUCCAGCAUCAUUGCCCAUGUAUGCACGGGAAAUAUUUAGAAGAAGUAAUGUAUAUUUUCGAUGCGGUACCAGCUGGUGGUAGCAGAGGGAGAGGAAGGCCUCCUCUGCGUUGGAAAGAUCAGGUGGAGAAGGACUUUGGUGUUGGUUGGCACGAGAAAGAAACGACUGGCGCGCUUUGUUAAACUCGGCCAAAAUCGCGUAAGCGGUUAUCGCGCCAAUUAAGAAGAAGAAUGUAUAUUUUGUAAAUUACUUGGCAACUGAAGUACAUAAUUCAUCCUCUAUGAAAAUUUCACACUUUUUAAUCGGAACUUGAAUAAAAAUUCUUGCUAUUUUGGGUCGUUUUGGAAUAAUAAAUGCGAGGAGGCAGCGUAGGUGUUGCGAAGCAAAUGCAUGAAGAACAGCAAAAAAGACACUCCAAAUAGAGCCAGAAAGGACGUGCAACCCUUUGAAAACGGUUAAGUAAGGAUUAUUAAAUUAUGCAUAGCGCUGUCGGGGUCAAUGGGUGUAUUGAGCAAAGUAUUGUUGUGAUGUACUCCUACAUAAAUGGGUUAAAGGUAAAACA